GCCCGGGUCGCCUAGACCGGUAGGGCGCGGCGCUGGAGACGCCGUGGCUGCAAGGCCUCGGGAGUUCAAAUCUCCCCCCGGGCG
rnacentral:tRNA from 1 species